rnacentral:tRNA from 2 species
GCCGAAGUAGCUCAACAGCAGAGCAAUGGUUUUGUAAACCAUAGGUUGGAGGUGCAAGUCCUCUCUUCGGCUCCU